rnacentral:rRNA from 1 species
UACGGAGGGUGCGAGUGUUAAUCGGAAUAACUGGGCGUAAAGGGCACGCAGGCGGUGACUUAAGUGAGGUGUGAAAGCCCCGGGCUUAACCUGGGAAUUGCAUUUCAUACUGGGUCGCUAGAGUACUUUAGGGAGGGGUAGAAUUCCACGUGUAGCGGUGAAAUGCGUAGAGAUGUGGAGGAAUACCGAAGGCGAAGGCAGCCCCUUGGGAAUGUACUGACGCUCAUGUGCGAAAGCGUGGGGAGCAAACAGGAUUAGAAACCCUGGUAGU